AUGAGCAUUUUUGAGCACGCAGAACACAUCGGCUCAGCCUGGAGCCAGCAGUUAGAGCGCGAACACACACACACACACACACACACACACACACACACACACACGCAGGCACGCACGCGGAGCAGUGCUUUCCUCUCAAGUGAGGCGGCAUUAGCAACUGCAGUUCCAGCUUCCUCAGCUGAGCUCCCGGCGGCCACUGCCUGCCUGAUUUGUCGGAGGAGCGCUAGAGUCCAGUUUCUGAGGGAUCCGGUAACAUGUAGCUGUCACAGCUGGUGGCAGACAGCCACUUCUUUCCAGCUGCUUCGCAGCCCUGGCAAGAGGACACCCUCUUCCAAAAUUCACGCUGCCUGGGGAGGAGGCUGCUCAGUGCAGACAGAAAGGUGCAGAAAAAUUCGAGGAUUUGGUGAGUUCAUGGAGAAAACAUCCUGAUACUAAAGGCUGUGCUGGACGACAGAAGACAG
rnacentral:lncRNA from 1 species